rnacentral:rRNA from 1 species
ACCCGCUGAACUUAAGCAUAUCAAUAAGCGGAGGAAAAGAAACCAACAGGGAUUGCCCUAGUAACGGCGAGUGAAGCGGCAACAGCUCAAAUUUGAAAUCUGGCUCUUUUAGAGUCCGAGUUGUAAUUUGCAGAGGGCGCUUUGGCUUUGGCAGCGGUCCAAGUUCCUUGGAACAGGACGUCACAGAGGGUGAGAAUCCCGUACGUGGUCGCUGGCUAUUCCCGUGUAAAGCCCCUUCGACGAGUCGAGUUGUUUGGGAAUGCAGCUCUAAAUGGGAGGUACAUUUCUUCUAAGCUAAAUAUUGGCCAGAGACCGAUAGCGCACAAGUAGAGUGAUCGAAAGAUGAAAAGCACUUUGGAAAGAGAGUCAAACAGCACGUGAAAUUGUUGAAAGGGAAGCGCUUGCAGCCAGACUUGCUUACAGUUGCUCAUCCGGGCUUUUGCCCGGUGCACUCUUCUGUAGGCAGGCCAGCAUCAGUUUGGGCGGUAGGAUAAAGGUCUCUGUCACGUACCUCCCUUCGGGGAGGCCUUAUAGGGGAGACGACAUACUACCAGCCUGGACUGAGGUCCGCGCAUCUGCUAGGAUGCUGGCGUAAUGGCUGU